GACGAACCGUGCGAAUGUUAUUCGGAAUCACUGGGCUUAAAGCGUGUGUAGGCGGAUCGUUAAGUGUCUUGUGAAAUCCCACGGCUCACCCGUGGAACUGCUGGGCAUACUGGCGAUCUUGGGCCAACUAGGGGCAACUGGAACAAGCGGUGGAGCGGUGAAAUGCGUAGAUAUCGCUUGGAACGCCAAAGGUGAAAACAGGUUGCUGGGGUUGUGCCGACGCUGAGACACGAAAGCCAGGGGAGCAAACGGG
rnacentral:rRNA from 1 species